UGUGAUGAGCCUUGGCUCAUUGCUGGUGAUUUUGAUUCGAUCUUGGAUAUGUCUAAAAGGAGAGGUGAUGCGGCUACGUUUAGGAACGGAUGUGCUCAUUUUCAGGAAUUUCUAUUCAAUAAUGGACUUCGGGACUUGGUUGUUGUGAAUCUCGUUUUACAUGGAGUAGCGGAGGGUUAUCUCAACGUUUGGACAGGGUCUGGGGAAUUCUAUUUUUGAUAUGUUUGCAUCUGAUUGUUUUGAUUCAAAAUUUACAUCGGUUAAAAAAUGAUCAUCGCCCGAUUUUAGUGUCCCUUAAACCUCACCAGGUGGGGGGGGGGGGGGGGGACAAGACCUUUCCGGUGUCUUGGCAGUUGGAUGCUUCAUUCUAAGUUGAGGAUGUUGGUUAGUAAUAAUUGGAAUUCUGAAGAAUCCAUGGUGAAUAUACUGAAAUAGUUUCAAGUUAAGGUCCAAUAUUGGAACAAGCGUGUCUACGAUAACAUCGUUAGCUGAAAAAGAAAAUUGAUUUAAUAGUUGAAGGAAGCACAAAAAUUGUUGGAGUUAAGGUCGAAUAAGAGGUUUUGUAUUCAAGAGAUAGAAUUGAGACAAGUAUUGGAGGAGGUUUUGAAGCAUAAUGAGCUCUUAUGGUUUCAGAAAUCCUGGUCAAUUUGGCUCAUGAAUGGAGAUAGAAAUACCAAAUACUUCCAUGGACGGACUCUUGCUAGACGUAAAAGGAACAAAAUUAAGGGCCUUAAGAUGUCAUUUCCAGGAUUUAUCUCUAGUGGAAAAGGGUGGUUUCGAGAUGGUGGUGACAGAUUUAGAGAUCUGUAAUGCAAUUUUUGGUAUGGCUCCGCUUAAGGCUUCUGGAGCUGAUGGUUUCCAUGCGAAGUUUUAUCAAACUCAAUGUGAUACUGUUGGUCCUUCAGUUUGUUCGAUGGUGCGACAGGUGUUUAAGGGUUGUCCAAUGAACCACAGGAUUAAUAAAAAUUUGGUUGUUCUAAUCCCGAAGAUUGAUAGUCCAGAAAGUAUCACUCAAUUUCAUCUGAUUAGCCUGUGUAUAAUUUAAUACAAGAUAAUCACCAAGUCAAUUGUUAAUAGAUUACGACCGUUAAUGUCGAGGCUUACUAAAUAAAAUCAAGCUAGCUUUGUGAUGGGUAGAAGCAUUUCGGACAAUAUUGUUCUUGCUCAAUAGGUGGUACAUUCUUUGAGGAAUUUUAAAGGCAAAAAAUCGAGGAUGAUUCUAAAAAUUAAUCUCGAGAAGGCAUACGAUAAAAUUUAUUGGGACUUCUUAAGGGAUACACUUUUAGAAGUAGGGUUGUCACCUAUGUUGAUCACAGUAAUUAUGAAUUGUGUGUCUUCAGCUACGUUCUAGGUCGCUCUGGAAUGGUACGGUCACGAAUGAAUUUAGGCCUUCUAAGGGGUUAUGACAAGGAGAUCCAUUAUCUCCUUACUUAUUUGUGUUAUUUGUGUUAUGUAUGGAGAGAUUGGGGCACUUAAUUGAUGAAGUAGUGAAUAACGAGAGGUGGAAGCCUCUGGUUCUGCUUAAGGGAGGUCCAGCUUUAUCACAUUUAUUUUUUGCUGAUGAUCUAAUGCUAUUUGGUGAAGUGGAUCUAAAGCAAGGUGAAGUGGUACAUGAUAUUUUAAAUACCUUCUGUCAUUUAUCGGGACAAAAAGUGAAUAGGAACAAAUCUCAAGUUUUUUUUUCUCGCUUAAUGUUUUGGAAACUGUUGGUUUAGAUAUAUGCAAGAAUGUGGGAUAUAGAUGAGUGGAUGAUUUGGGGUUGUACCUUGGUCUUCUGAUUAUUCAUAAGAGAGUUGGAGUUGGCACUUUUGAGUUUUUGGUGAAUAAGGUCCGUAGUAGACUCAAUGGGUGGGAGGCUAAGAAACUCUCACUGGCAAAUAGAAUUAUGUUAGUUAAGUUAGUGUUGAUACCUAUUCCUAAUUAUUUUAUGUCUAUAGUUCGUAUUUGUGUAACUGUGUGUGGUGAGAUUGAAAAGGUGGUCCACAAUUUUUUGGGGGAUCAUAUUCUGAUUAGGAAAUCGACCCUCUUAAAAUGGGAUGAUUGUUGUCGUCCAGUUGAGGUUGGGAUUUUUUUUGGUCCUCUAAGGAAUUUCUUUGUGGGAUUCGAGCAACCAGAUGACACUUUGCGAGUUUGUGAUUUAGUUAAUGAGUUUAGGAAUUGGGAUUGGAUCCGUCUUAAAAGCUUUUUACCAAAUCCAAUUGUGAUGCAAAUAGCUUUGCUAUUGCCUUCUUCAUUGGAUGCGGGAAAUGAUCGAUUAUUGUGGAGAUGGGCGGCUAGAAAUGCCUUGUCCAUGGCGAAAACCUAUAGAGGUAUGUACCAGUUUGGUUCGGAUAAUAACUCUAAUGUCUGGAAGUUGUUUUAGAAAGCCAAGGUUCCUCAGCGGGUUAGAGUGUUCAUUUGGCUCAUAUGGAAGAACAGGCUGUUAACUAAUGAGGAGAGAUUUAUGAGACAUAUGGCUUGUGAGGGCUACUGUUCGAGAUGUAGUUUUACCCUUGCGUCCAAGUUACAUGCAGUUAGAGAUUGUCCAUUUCCAUAGGCAGUCUAGACUUCAAUUGUACCAAAUCAUAAGCAAAUAUUAUUCUUCUCCUUACCUCUUGACCAAUGGGUUGUUUGGAACUUGCAGAAUAUAGGAAUUGUGGUAGUCAUGAAGUUGACUGGAAAACGUUAUUUCCUAUAGUUUGUUGGUUAUUAUAGAAAAAUAGGAAUAUGUUUGUGUUUUUCAGUAGUCAUAGCUCUGUCCAGGAUGUGGUAGAUACAAGUAUUAGUUGGACAAGAAAUUACUCUCCACCCUUGACAGCUAUGUUUCAUUUGGGAUCUAUGGCUACUGAUACGAAAUGGUCAGCUCCGGAGAGUUGAUGUGUUAAGCUUAAUAUAGAUGGUGCAAUUUCACUUAGCUUUUACUCGGCUACAAUUGGAGGAGUCAUUAGAGAUGCUGAUGGUAAUUUGUUAUGUGGUUAUUCGAUGACAUUAGGGAAAGAUAAAGUGUUUAGGAUCGAAGCGAGGUCAAUGUUAGAAGGGCUUCAACUAGUUUGGGGCAAAGGGUAUCGACAGGUUGAGCUUGAAUCUGAUAAUGCUCUGUUGGUGGAGUUAAUUUUGGCUAGUAAAUCUAUUGAUAGUCAAUUUAAGAAAUUAUGAGCCAUUCAUAAGCUGAUACAGGUGAAUUGGAAAGUAUGUAUCCAUCACAUUCCUAGAGUUGACAAUGCAAUUGCAGAUUUUUUGGCAAAGCAUGCUGCUAUAGGAUUCACAAGUAUUCAGGACCUCCUCAAGUUGUGCGGGAGUUAAUUCAAAAAGAUAUUAUGGGCUUUUGUUUUUAUGUUUGUUAUUGUAAUCGCCUAAUGCUGUUUUAUUUACCAAAAAAAGUAGAAUUUUAUCUUGUUAUACGUCUUAUGUUUAUAAAUAUAGAUUUUGGAGAAACAUUGUAUCAUCCUAAUUAAUCAAUAAAAUAUUGUAGUUUUGCUCUCCCAAA